rnacentral:lncRNA from 1 species
AAAUUUGAUUGUGGACAGGGCCAGCAAGGAUCAAGCAGUAUCGAAGAUGAAGAUAGAUAACUAAGGAUAUCCUAUGGUAAAUUUAAUCUCUUUUCUGCAAGUCUCUGUGAGUCUGGGAACAUAUUUACUUGAUACAAAAAUAGAUGCAUAGGCCUCUGGCAACCAUAUUACUUUAAUGUAGACAUAACUGCAAACAAGGAUAAUUUCACUUUUUCCUUUCCAAUUUGGAAGUUAUUUAUUUCUUUCUCUAGUCUGCUUGCUCUGGUUAGGACUCCCCAUAGUAUGGUGAAUAAAAGUGGUGAAUGUGAGC